AUGGUUGCUAGGCCGCGUACAGGUUCAGAUUCAGAAAGUAGUCUAGCUAGCCAUCCUCGCCGAGACGCGUGGCUCGAAGCAGAGGCCCACAACUUCGACAGGGCCAUGUCGGCGAUCACCUUCCAGUGCUUCGUCGUGCCCAUGUUCAUGGGCGGGACGACCGACCAGAGGGUCGUCGAGGAGAACCUGGAGAAGCUUAAGGUGGCCCUCGGAGUCUACAAGGAGCGUCUGACCAGGUCUCAAUACCUGGCCCGAGAUUUCAUCAGCCUGGCGGACCUCAGCCAUUGCGCCAUGGCUCACUACCUGCUGGCGAGCCCCUGCGCGUCCGUGCUCGAUGCGUAUCCGCGUGUGAAAGCCUGGGUUCAUGGCAUGAUGGAUCGACCGAGCGUUAAGAAGGUCAUGGAGCUUAUGGACGCAUCGUGA
rnacentral:rRNA from 1 species